UACGUAGGUGGCAAGCGUUGUCCGGAUUUACUGGGCGUAAAGAGCGCGCAGGCGGUCGUUCAAGUCGCGUGUGAAAGCCCCCGGCUCAACUGGGGAGGGUCAUUCGAUACUGGUCGACUCGAAGGCAGGAGAGGGAAGCGGAAUUCCCGGUGUAGUGGUGAAAUGCGUAGAUAUCGGGAGGAACACCAGUGGCGAAGGCGGCUUCCUGGCCUGUUCUUGACGCUGAGGCGCGAAAGCUAGGGGAGCAAACGGG
rnacentral:rRNA from 1 species